ensembl:snoRNA
AAGUGAAGUCAAUGAUGGUUUUAACCCAAAAUGUCUGAACCUGUCUGAAGCAUCUUAGUGAUGCAGUCUUUUUGUCAUUCUGAGACUUCUCUGAGA